rnacentral:rRNA from 1 species
CCUACGGGAGACAGCAGUGAGGAAUAUUGGUCAAUGGACGAGAGUCUGAACCAGCCAAGUAGCGUGAAGGAUGACUGCCCUAUGGGUUGUAAACUUCUUUUAUAUGGGAAUAAAAUGUUCCACGUGUGGGAUUUUGUAUGUACCAUAUGAAUAAGGAUCGGCUAACUCCGUGCCAGCAGCCGCGGUAAUACGGAGGAUCCGAGCGUUAUCCGGAUUUAUUGGGUUUAAAGGGAGCGUAGGUGGAUUGUUAAGUCAGUUGUGAAAGUUUGCGGCUCAACCGUAAAAUUGCAGUUGAAACUGGCAGUCUUGAGUACAGUAGAGGUGGGCGGAAUUCGUGGUGUAGCGGUGAAAUGCUUAGAUAUCACGAAGAACUCCGAUUGCGAAGGCAGCUCACUGGACUGCAACUGACACUGAGGCUCGAAAGCGUGGGGAGCAAACAGGAUUAGAUACCCCUGUAGUC